GCAAUCGGUGGUUCGGUGGUGGUGAAUGCUCGCCUGCCACGCGGGCGCUCCGGGCUCCGGAUUCCCCGGCCGAUGCA